rnacentral:rRNA from 1 species
GACGAACGCUGGCGGCGUGCUUAACACAUGCAAGUCGAACGGAAAGGCCCUGCUUUUGUGGGGUGCUCGAGUGGCGAACGGGUGCGUAACACGUGAGUAACCUGCCCUUGACUUUGGGAUAACUUCAGGAAACUGGGGCUAAUCCCGGAUAGGAGCUCCUGCUGCAUGGUGGGGGUUGGAAAGUUUCGGCGGUUGGGGAUGGACUCGCGGCUUAUCAGCUUGUUGGUGGGGUAGUGGCUUACCAAGGCUUUGACGGGUAGCCGGCCUGAGAGGGUGACCGGCCACAUUGGGACUGAGAUACGGCCCAGACUCCUACGGGAGGCAGCAGUGGGGAAUAUUGCACAAUGGGCGGAAGCCUGAUGCAGCAACGCCGCGGGCGGGAUGACGGCCUUCGGGUUGAAAACCGCUGUCGCCUGUGACGAAGCGUGAGUGACGGUAAUGGGUAAAGAAGCACCGGCUAACUACGUG